rfam:Trichobilharzia regenti genome assembly, scaffold: TRE_scaffold0043626
AGUUAGCUGACGAGUCCCAAAUAGGACGAAAUGCGCCUUAUCCUGGCU